GGUUUCAUAGUGUAGUGAUUAGCACGUCUGCUUUACAGGCAGAAGGUUCUGGGUUCGUCGCCCAAGUGGUGCCA
rnacentral:tRNA from 1 species